AAUCCUAUGACAUUCCUACAAACCAAAGGAGGCCUCAAACUGACAGCACGAACCUCAGACACUUAUAGGCUGACAAAACAGUCUGGAUCAACUGUCAUCGGAAUCCCUGAAUAACAGCUAGGCCUCUUUUGGUUCAUAGGAUAGGAUUAUCAUAGGAAUAGAAAUCUUAUAGGAAAUAAGAUGACAUGUAUCUCAAAUCCUAUAAGUAGAAAUAGGAAACAAGAUGUCAUUUGGUUGACAUCAAAGGAAAUUUUCCAUUGAGUCUAGGCUCUUUUUUAUUUUCCUAUGAAAUGUGGAGGAUAGGAACCAAUCCUAUGUAAGAAUAGGAAUCCAUUCCUAUGAACCAAAUGGCUCUAAAGGAAAAAAUCCUAUAAAAAUCCUAUCCUCUAGAAUUCCUAUGAAAUUCCUCUAAACCAAAGAAGGCCCUAGUAUGUCAACCCCUGAAUUACAGCUAGUAUGCAAGACAACAAAGGGAAACAAACCAAUUUGCAGCAAUAAAAAGAAAGCCAUCACAUUCAACAGAAGCAAAUCGACCAA
rnacentral:lncRNA from 1 species